rnacentral:rRNA from 1 species
UACGUAGGGUGCAAGCGUUGUUCGGAAUCACUGGGCGUAAAGAGCACGUAGGCGGGUCUGUAUGUCAAUUGUGAAAUCCCCGGGCUCAACCUGGGAAUUGCAGUUGAAACUGCAGAUCUUGAAUGUCCAAGAGGAUGGGGGAAUUCCUGGUGUAGUAGUGAAAUACGUAGAUAUCAGGAGGAACACCUGAGGCGAAGGCGCCUGUCUGGUGGAGCAUUGACGCUGAGGUGCGAAAGCGUGGGUAGCAAACAG